rnacentral:misc_RNA from 1 species
GAUGAAGAACGCAGCGAAAUGCGAUACUUGGUGUGAAUUGCAGAAUCCCGUGAACCAUCGAGUCUUUGAACGCAAGUUGCGCCUCAAGCCAUUAGGUUGAGGGCACGUCUGCCUGGGCGUCACAUAUCGUUGCCUGAUGCCAGUUUCCUCGUGAUGGGUGACUGUGCAGGGCGAAUGAUGGCUUCCCGUGAGCAUUGUUGCCUCAUGGUUGGUUGAAAAUUGAGUCCUUGGUAGGGAGCGCCGUGAUAGAUGGUGGUUGAGUGACGAACGAGACCCAAUCAUGUGAGACCCCUACCGAAUUUGGCCUUCAUGACCCACAUGCGUCUUUGGAACGCUCAUGACGAGACCUCAGGUCAGGCGGGGCUACCCGCUGAGUUUAAGCAUAUCAAUAGCGGAGGA